rnacentral:rRNA from 1 species
AUGUGCACUUUCGUGAAUCUAGGCAGCGCACAGCCGUCUGCUCAGGGAUGCAUUGUUUUUGUUUUAGGCAAGGCACGCUCUGGUGUUAUUAGUUUUCUAGCUGCUUCAGUUCUUCUCUCAAUAUGGUCACACUGA